GACGAACGCUGGCGGCGUGCUUAACACAUGCAAGUCGAACGGAGUGGCGAACGGGUGAGUAACACGUGGGUGACCUGCCCUGCACUUCGGGAUAAGCCUGGGAAACUGGGUCUAAUACCGGAUAGUGGGGGAUGGGCCCGGGGCCUAUCAGCUUGUUGGUGGGGUAAUGGCCUACCAAGGCGGCGACGGGUAGCCGGCCUGGGAGGGUGGACGGCCACAUUGGGACUGGGGAACGGCCCAGACUCGUACGGGGGGCAGCGGUGGGGAGUCUUGCACAAUGGGCGGAAGGCUGGUGCAGGGACUCCGGGUGGGAGAUGGCGGCCUUCGGGUUGUAAACUCCUUUCUCCGUCGACGCGGUAGAUGGAGAAGAAGCACCGGCUAACUACGUGCCAGCAGCCGCGGUAAUUC
rnacentral:rRNA from 1 species